rnacentral:lncRNA from 1 species
CACGGAUCCAGGCCCCGGGUCCCGCCGGCCCCUCCGAACCGCGCCGCCACCCUCCUCCUCCUCCGGGCCACGGCGCGCCGCUCUUCCCCGGCGCUGCGCCGCGCUCGCCUCACCGAAUUUAAGGCGAAGAGAAAAGAGCCAGAAAUCCCCGAGCUGGCGGCAACUGCGGCGCUGUCUCCUCUGCGACCGGAACUAACGCGAGCAGGAGGGGAGGAAGAGGCGCCACCCCCGCCCCGGAGGCCUGCUAUCGCGAGAUUUCUACCCUGCGCCAGUUCGCACUCCCCCCUGCCGAAGGCCGCGGGGUUGCAGCUCGGGGGCACCGGCUAACACCGCGGUGGACUCAAGAAUGUGCCUUUAUCACAAAGUCUCCCGAGAUAAGGACCUUCAGAAGGUGUAUUCUCCGGGACAACAGAUAAAACUGCCCGCAUCCGGUUUGUGCCCUUUUCAUCCGCCAUCCCCCAAACACCGGGAUUUGUCCUUAAAAUCCCUUUCCAUGUACCAACUUCUCGCUCUCGCUCUCGCUCUCUCUCUCUCUCUCUCUCUCUCUCUCUCUCUCUCUCUCGCGUGUUCCAGAUCGAGGCCAGCCUGGUCUACAGAGUGAAUUCUAGGAGAGCCAGGGGUAUUUCUGACAUCCACCGUCCCUGUACUCAAACCUUUAAUCUUUCUUACUCGUACAUGGAAGGCACUUCUGUUCACUGGCAUUUAACAUAUACUGUAUUUGGAGUUUCGGAUUUGCCUCUAAGGCUUUAAGCCGCUGUUUGUUGGAUCUUGGCUGUCAAUUCUUUUCCGUUCAAGUUGGUAGGUCGGAGCGCUGAAGGAGCAGCGGUGGGAAAAUAGCCUAGCAGCAACAGCCUAACUUCUUGGAGGUACUGGUGGCCCAUAGGACUGAACUUUGGUGGGACCUAGGAAGGCCAGGCCGUGGAGCAUAGUGGGAAAUGAUGGGAAUCAGGGCUCUAAGUUCCCCUACCUUUAUCCUCUAACCCUGAGUCCGUUGGCAUUUCUCUUGGAAGUCUUAUUUCAUACUCUGCAUGAUAGACUACCACGUCCCCCACGUUAUGUUUGUUUCUGAUGUGUUAAGGGUACAGUAUUUCACUAAUUAAAAAGCCAUGUUUGUGUAGUAUGUGUGUAGCAGACAUUCUCCUAAGCACUUAACUGCGUUGAGUCCUUGAAACUGCCCUAUGACUUUGACACUUGUUAGUCUUGUUGGGAAAAGAAGGCAUAUAGGUCAGUUAACUUGCCAGUGAACGGCCCCCCAGCGGCCUGGUCCACCAAUAUAAUAAACUGCCAGGUCACACACUGAGCUGAGCUAGAGACACAAAAAACGGUGAAUAGCCAAACCCGUUACUCAUAAAGCUUCCCUCCGCAUUGGCCACAUUUCCCAAUUCGGUCUCCUCUCCAGUACAGUCCUGAUUUACACCCUGCCUUUGUAUUUUUGAGACAGGGUCUUGCUAAGUAGCCCAGGCUGGCCUUGACCUGGCAAUCCUCCUGUAUCAGCUUUCCAGGUACUGGCAUUAGAGACAUCAGUCACCAAGCCCAGUUAAUUGGGAUUUCUGUUCCCGUGACUAAAUGAGCCUUCCUUGUUGCACUGUGUCUUUCUUUACAUUUCCAGGGUGAUCUUUCUAAAUGUAACUCAGGCCCUUCUCAUCAGUGUCUGAGUUCCUGGGUUUUCAUGAAAAACCACAGGAACACUGCUUUCCACCUUCUUAUACCAUUGGUGGCUUUAUCACAUCCAAUAAGGAGUCAGGACCUUAAAACUCGGCUUGGGAGAUGACUCUAUGUAAAAUGUUUGCAACACAGUAUGAGGACUCAAGUUCUAAUUCUCAAAUACCACAUAAAAGCUAAGUGUUUAUGGCAGCCCACCUGUAAUCAGCACAUGGGAAAUGAAGGAAGGGUCUGUGGAGCAAGGUAACUAGCCAUACAAGCCAUACACUCAAGCUCCAGCCGUGGUG